rnacentral:tRNA from 1 species
GGGCGCAUAGCUCAAUGGCAGAGCACUUUCUUGACGUGAAAGGGGUUUCAGGUUCGAGUCCUGAUGCGCCCA